AUGUGCCCUAGAGCGCACGGCGGCGCUGCGAUGGUGAGAGCGAGAGCGAGCAGUGCUGCUAGCGCGCACUCGUUUGCGGAGGAGGAGUACAUCGACCUGGAUCUCAGCUCCUGCGGGGAGUACCAGUUCCGGGUGUGCCGGAGCAAACCCGCGGCGCCCUGCCCGUGCCCGGACGAGCUGGUCCGGCGGGCCAGGCAGCACAAGGUGGCGCCGAGGCCGGGGGGCAAGCUGCUUGACGCGGACGCCGGCGCCGCAGGCGGCUGCGGCAGAAGGGGCACCGCCACGGUCGCGCCAUUGCAGCACUCCUCGCAUGCUCCACCGCACGCGGGCCGGCGCAGGAAGCCCGGCAAGGCCAUGCAGGCGAGGCUGCAGGCGUCGCGGGCCUUCCUCCGGUCCCUGUUCGCCAGGACCUGGUGCUCCGACGAACGGUGCCGCGGCGUUCGGUCCGGGAGCAGGGCCACGCAUGACAGGGACAAGGGCGUCGGCGUCAGCGGCAAGUCGGCGUUUGGGCAAAUCAACAAGAGCUACGUGAGCGGCAGCGCGGCCCCGACGACGCUGAGGAGCAGCAUUGAGCGGGAGAAGCUGAUGGAAGAGGAGGAGCACGUCCGGCAACGCAAGUCCUUCUCCGGCGUGAUCAAGUGGCGACCGACGACAGCGGCGUCGUCGGCGCGGAGGAACUCGUGCGGGAGCGCCCCGGCCCUGAAGAGGAGCAGCAGCUGCCGGUCGGAGUCGGAGGGGCUGAUCCAGGGCGCCAUCGCCUACUGCAAGCGGUCGCAGCAGCAGCGCGUGCUCCUCGCCAGGAAGAGCGUCAGCGACGCCGCCCUCUGCUCCUUCCGUGCCCCUUCCUAG
rnacentral:rRNA from 1 species